rnacentral:rRNA from 1 species
GAGGAAUAUUGGUCAAUGGGCGAGAGCCUGAACCAGCCAAGUCGCAUGAAGGAUGACUGUCUUAUGGAUUGUAAACUUCUUUUAUACGGGAAUAACAAGAGUCACGUGUGACUCCCUGCAUGUACCGUAUGAAUAAGCAUCGGCUAACUCCGUGCCAGCAGCCGCGGUAAUACGGAGGAUGCGAGCGUUAUCCGGAUUUAUUGGGUUUAAAGGGUGCGUAGGCGGCCUGUUAAGUCAGCGGUGAAAUCUAGGAGCUUAACUCCUAAAUUGCCAUUGAUACUGGCGGGCUUGAGUGUAGAUGAGGUAGGCGGAAUGCGUGGUGUAGCGGUGGAAUGCAUAGAUAUCACGCAGAACUCCGAUUGCGAAGGCAGCUUACUAAGGUACAACUGACGCUGAAGCACGAAAGCGUGGGUAUCAAACAGGAUUAGAUACCCUGGUAGUCCACGCAGUAAACGAUGAUAACUGGGCGUAUGCGAUAUACAGUAUGCUCCUAAGCGAAAGCGUUAAGUUAUCCACCUGGGGAGUACGCCGGCAACGGUG